UGAUACCAAAAAGGAUAAUUUUUUGAUAAAACUGUCUUUCCAUGUGCAGAAAUUGGAGACAGUGGAGGAACUACUCGACCUUGACGAGUUGAUAAAAACUCAACCAAGCAAGAAAGAUUUGCUGGCUCAUGACAAAUGAAUUAAUGUCCAAUCUGAACAUGAAGGGGAGAGGGGGAAAAAAAUAGCUUUGCCGAGACGAAGCUGCUCGAUUUAGUCACAGCUAGUGUCUUGGAUACCCAGAAGGGGACCGAAACGAUGGUCUAUGAUGCCAUAAAAAAUAAACUGAAAUAUGCCCCUGGACGGAAGGGAGGAAUAGGCUGGGCAUCACAGGCUAAAUAAAUAAUU